GGGGACAGAACUUUUUUUGCAGACGGUGUCACUGAGGAACAACACAUGGCUGCGAUUAAUGGUAGUGACAACAUAAUAUUUAUUUAAAGAAUUACAACACCGUAACUGGAUUCAUAAUAGAUGAAAGUUGCAGUGAUUAAUAACCAAAAAAAUUGCAGACAUAAUUAGGGAUGACGAAAUAAGGUGUAGUCAACGAGUCUUUAGCGAAAUUUUCAACAAGGAGAAAAUGAUGGCUUGUUUAUCAAAUUUCUUUGGAGAUUGAGAAAGCCAGAAACUGUCUAGACCUAAAUGUAAGCGCUGAUGCUGAUAUUGGAGAUCACUUUGUCCCUACGAUUGACAAGCAGGAGGUGAUGAGCCACUCGAUACUUGAGGGAAAUCCAAUAAAUGGGAUAGCUGGUUUUGGUGUUGUUGAAAAAACGGAUAAUUUUAUAUUGUAACUUGUUAUUUUAACAACAUCUCAUGUUCAUAUAUUAUAACAGUCUAAAAAGGUUAGUAUGAACUAAGAUGCAGACACAUAAUGGACACCAAAUUAUAAUAUGGACGCAUCAUUUUUGGUUCCUAACAAUUUCUCCUAGAUCAGUCUUGAAGAACGAUCACCCUUCAUCUCUAUACGGCGGUGUGAGGGUUGGAUUUGUUCUGAAUGAGGAACCUUAACACUAGGAAAUCAGGCCAGGAUAUUGGGAAAGCUAGAUUGCUUCAAGGUACGCAAUUGAACUUGAGAGGAGUUAUGGUGUUCCCGGCUCCGAAUAUGUUUGUUACCCCCGCCCACACCACACCGAUCUCAAUAUUACCAAUCCCACUCCUCCACCUAGGCCUCAAAUUGAGGUUCAUGUAGAAGUGUUUUCCAUCGGUUCCUCAACUGAAGUGAAGACCGUGGGAGAAAUGGGUGGUGAGAUGAACAUCGCUACCAUCGGCUGUAGUGGGCCAGGCGGUGACGUUAUCUGUGAGAAAGGUUUGUGUCAAGUUGAUCAUAUGUUUGUUAAACUAAGGCAAGACAAUAUCAUGCUUUGAAAUAUGAUUGUCAAGGGUGUUGGAUAAAAUAAAUGGAAUCUUUCAUUUAAUAUGACUAAUAAAUCCGGAUUUAUAAAUUUAUAUCCAGAUAUAAUGUGCCAUCUGAACUGUGUCUUCUUUUUAUUUGAAUGCAAGGUGAAUCGUUGAGGAGGGGAAUUAAUGGGUCGCCUGCGAAGUUGGAAGGAGAGAUG
rnacentral:lncRNA from 1 species